rnacentral:piRNA from 1 species
UUGUACCUGGUGCUAAGUGAGUCAGU